CCUACGGGUGGCAGCAGUGAGGAAUAUUGGUCAAUGGACGAGAGUCUGAACCAGCCAAGUAGCGUGAAGGAUGACUGCCCUAUGGGUUGUAAACUUCUUUUAUAUGGGAAUAAAAUGUUCCACGUGUGGGAUUUUGUAUGUACCAUAUGAAUAAGGAUCGGCUAACUCCGUGCCAGCAGCCGCGGUAAUACGGAGGAUCCGAGCGUUAUCCGGAUUUAUUGGGGUUAAAGGGAGCGUAGGUGGAUUGUUAAGUCAGUUGUGAAAGUUUGCGGCUCAACCGGAGAAUUGUAGUUGAAACUGGCAGUCUUGAGUACAGAAGAGGUAGGCGGAAUUCGUGGUGUAGCGGUGAAAUGCUUAGAUAUCACGAAGAACUCCGAUUGCGAAGGCAGUUCACUGGACUGCAACUGACGCUGAGGCUCGAAAGUGUGGGUAUCAAACAGGAUUAGAUACCCCUGUAGUC
rnacentral:rRNA from 1 species